CCUACGGGAGGCUGCAGUAGGGAAUCUUUCACAAUGGGCGAAAGCCUGAUCGAGCAACGCCGCGUGCAGGAUGACGGCCUUCGGGUUGUAAACUGCUUUUAUAAGCGAGAAAUAUGAUGGUAACUUAUGAAUAAGGAUCGGAUAACUACGUGCCAGCAGCCGCGGUCAUACGUCGGAUCCGAGAAUUAUCCGGAGUGACUGAGUGUAAAGAGGUGCGUAGGUGGGAUAAUAAGUAGCUAGUGAAAUCUGGUGGCUCAACCAUUCAGACUAUUAGCUAAACUGUUAAGCUCGAGACCGUUAGGGGUAAGUGGAAUGUCUGGUGUAGGAGUGAAAUCCGUAGAGAUUAGAAGGAACACCGAUAGCGUAGGCAGGUUACUGGGACGGUUCUGACACUAAGGCACGAAAGCGUAGGGAGCAAACGGGAUUAGAUACCCGUGUAGUC
rnacentral:rRNA from 1 species